GAAGCUGACCAGACAGUCGCCGCUUCGUCGUCGUCCUCCUUCGGGGGGAGACGGGCGGAGGGGAGGAAAGUCCGGGCUCCAUAGGGCAAGGUGCCAGGUAACGCCUGGGGGGUGUCACAGCCCACGACCAGUGCAACAGAGAGCAAACCGCCGAUGGCCCGCGCAAGCCGUACUGAACCCGGGUAGGCUGCUUGAGCCAGUGAGCGAUUGCUGGCCUAGAUGAAUGACUGUCCACGACAGAACCCGGCUUAUCGGUCAGUUUCACCU
rnacentral:RNase_P_RNA from 1 species